rnacentral:tRNA from 1 species
UCCCACGUAGUCUAGGCGGUUAGGAUACCAGGUUCUCAACGCCUCCCGCCUCAUGGCGAGAACGUAAUCCCUGGCGACCCGGGUUCGAGUCCCGGCGUGGGAA